UACGUAGGGGGCAAGCGUUAUCCGGAUUUACUGGGUGUAAAGGGAGCGUAGACGGCUUGGUAAGUCUGAUGUGAAAGCCCAGGGCUCAACCCUGGGACUGCAUUGGAAACUGUUAGGCUAGAGUGCAGGAGAGGUAAGUGGAAUUCCUAGUGUAGCGGUGAAUGCGUAGAUAUUAGGAGGAACACCAGUGGCGAAGGCGGCUUACUGGACUGUAACUGACGUUGAGGCUCGAAAGCGUGGGGAGCAAACAGG
rnacentral:rRNA from 1 species